UCUAUAUAGAUAAUUCGUAAUUUUUGGACUCCGUUACGACUGUAAUCAAGCUCGGGAAGGCACGCGACAUACUUGUACCGGUCGAGGUGGGGAAGUGUUCGAGAGCUGCACUGUCACAGAGGGGUGUCGUUCCGGAGCGUCAGUCCCUUGUCGGUCUUUUAGAGUCU